AAGUCGUAACAAGGUCUCCGUUGGUGAACCAGCGGAGGGAUCAUUACCGAGUUUUCAACUCCCUAACCCUUCUGUGAACCUACCUAUCGUUGCUUCGGCGGACUCGCCCCAGCCCGGACGCGGACUGGACCAGCGGCCCGCCGGGGACCUAAAACUCUUGUAUUCCAGCAUCUUCUGAAUACGCCGCAAGGCAAAACAAAUGAAUCAAAACUUUCAACAACGGAUCUCUUGGCUCUGGCAUCGAUGAAGAACGCAGCGAAACGCGAUAAGUAAUGUGAAUUGCAGAAUCCAGUGAAUCAUCGAAUCUUUGAACGCACAUUGCGCCCGCCAGCAUUCUGGCGGGCAUGCCUGUUCGAGCGUCAUUUCAACCCUCGACCUCCCCUUGGGGGGGUCGGCGUUGGGGACCGGCAGCACACCGCCGGCCCUGAAAUGGAGUGGCGGCCCGUCCGCGGCGACCUCUGCGCAGUAAUACAGCUCGCACCGGAACCCCGACGCGGCCACGCCGUAAAACACCCAACUUCUGAACGUUGACCUCGAAUCAGGUAGGACUACCCGCUGAACUUAA
rnacentral:rRNA from 1 species